ensembl:miRNA
UAGAUGUUGGUCCAAACUGAAAGUUGAUGAGUCACUGUGCCUCUCGGGGUAGUGAGUUAUCAGCUACAGUGAGUGAGAGAGCAGUGUUCGGCC